rnacentral:rRNA from 1 species
UACCUCUUCCGUCGGUGGUGGUGGUACGGGCCCGGUUCUCUGGGCCUGCUCGUACACGUCGCGCACCACGCCGUCUGCCGCCACACCACCCGCCUGCCACCGGAGUCGCCGACCCGUUUUUGUCGACGUGGACCACGAGAUGGCGUGGAUAGGGACCUAAACCACUCCCUUACCUACCUCCUCGUACUCCUCUCCCUAGAGUGGUAGUCGCCCGAGCGGUUCAUGAACGGAACU